rnacentral:misc_RNA from 1 species
GUGAAUCAUCGAAUUUUUGAACGCAUAUUGCACUAUCUGGUAUUCCGGAGAGUAUGCCUGUUUGAGGGUAAUUAAAAAGAAUCUAUAACCAAUUUUUUUUUGUCAAAGGAAAUGAGUUCUCCGCGUUUAUGGCGGUAGCUUGGAAUAAAUGGCCAAGUAUCAUCAUAUUCGAGACGCGUAAUAAUAUUAUUUUGCGAAAUCAUCAUUCU